GAUGAAGAACGUAGCGAAAUGCGAUAAGUAAUGUGAAUUGCAGAAUUCAGUGAAUCAUCGUAUCUUUGAACGCACAUUGCGCCCAUUAGUAUUCUAGUGGGCAUGCCUGUUCGAGCGUCAUUAAGUCCACUUAAGCCCUGCUUAGUGUUGGGAGACUGCUCCAGCGGUGCUACCCUGUAGCUACCCUGCAGCUCCUCAAAGACAGCGGCGGAGUUGUGGUAUCCUCUGAGCUUAGUAACUUGUUCUAGCUUUCGAGUACACCACUUCCCCUGCCGUAAAACCCUUAAUUUUUAAUGGUUGACCUCGGAUCAGGUAGGAAUACCCGCUGAACUUAAGCAUAUCAAUAAGCGGAGGA
rnacentral:misc_RNA from 1 species